rnacentral:rRNA from 1 species
UCUGUGGAUUAAAGGUGGCUUUUGGGCUGUCGCAGAUGGAUGAGCCUGCGUUGGAUUAGCUAGUUGGUGGGGUAAGGGCCUACCAAGGCUACGAUCCAUAGCUGAUUUGAGAGGAUGAUCAGCCACAUUGGGACUGAGACACGGCCCAAACUCCUACGGGAGGCAGCAGUGAGGAAUAUUGGACAAUGGGGGCAACCCUGAUCCAGCAAUGCCAUGUGUGUGAAGAAGGCCUUAGGGUUGUAAAGCACUUUAGUUGGGGAAGAAAGCUUUGAGGUUAAUAGCCUUGAGGAAGGACGUUACCCAAAGAAUAAGCACCGGCUAACUCCGUGCCAGCAGCCGCGGUAAUACGGGGGGUGCAAGCGUUAAUCGGAAUUACUGGGCGUAAAGAGUCUGUAGGUGGUUUGUUAAGUCAGAUGUGAAAGCCCAGGGCUCAACCUUGGAACUGCAUUUGAUACUGGCAAACUAGAGUACGGUAGAGGAAUGGGGAAUUUCUGGUGUAGCGGUGAAAUGCGUAGAGAUCAGAAGGAACACCAAUGGCGAAGGCAACAUUCUGGACCGAUACUGACACUGAGGGACGAAAGCGUGGGGAUCAAACAGGAUUAGAUACCCUGGUAGUCCACGCUGUAAACGAUGAGUACUAGCUGUUGGAGUCGGUGUAAAGGCUCUAGUGGCGCAGCUAACGCGAUAAGUACUCCGCCUGGGGACUACGGCCGCAAGGCUAAAACUCAAAGGAAUUGACGGGGACCCGCACAAGCGGUGGAGCAUGUGGUUUAAUUCGAUGCAACGCGAAGAACCUUACCUGGUCUUGACAUCCUGCGAACUUUCUAGAGAUAGAUUGGUGCCUUCGGGAACGCAGUG